ACAUGCAUGACACCACCUUGCACGUGGCUGUUGCUCCUUAACUUCUUUUUUCUUUUCUUUUCCUUUUUUUUUCUUUUUACUCGGAGAUUUUUU
rnacentral:ribozyme from 11 species